rnacentral:rRNA from 1 species
GUCCAGACUCCUACGGAGGCAGCAGUGGGGAAUAUUGCACAAUGGGGGAAACCCUGAUGCAGCGACGCCGCGUGAGUGAAGAAGUAAUUCGUUAUGUAAAGCUCUAUCAGCAGGGAAGAAAAUGACGGUACCUGAGUAAGAAGCCCCGGCUAACUACGUGCCAGCAGCCGCGGUAAUACGUAGGGGGCAAGCGUUAUCCGGAUUUACUGGGUGUAAAGGGAGCGUAGACGGCAGUGCAAGUCUGGAGUGAAAGGCAGGGGCUCAACCCCCGGACUGCUCUGGAAACUGUACGGCUGGAGUGCAGGAGAGGUAAGUGGAAUUCCUAGUGUAGCGGUGAAAUGCGUAGAUAUUAGGAGGAACACCAGUGGCGAAGGCGGCCUGCUGGACGAUGACUGACGUUGAGGCUCGAAAGCGUGGGGAGCAAACAGGAUUAGAUACCCCCGUACA